rnacentral:rRNA from 1 species
UACGUAGGUCCCGAGCGUUGUCCGGAUUUAUUGGGCGUAAAGCGAGCGCAGGUGGUUUAAUAAGUCUGAUGUAAAAGGCAGUGGCUCAACCAUUGUGUGCAUUGGAAACUGUUAGACUUGAGUGCAGUAGAGGAGAGUGGAAUUCCAUGUGUAGCGGUGAAAUGCGUAGAUAUAUGGAGGAACACCGAUGGCGAAAGCGGCUCUCUGGACUGUAACUGACACUGAGGCUCGAAAGCGUGGGGAGCAAACAGG